rnacentral:SRP_RNA from 2 species
GCUGGGCGUGGUGGCGGGCGCCUGUAAUCCCAGCUACUUGGGAGGCUGAGGCAGGAGAAUCGCUUGACUCCAGGAGGCGCAGGCUGCAGUGAGCUCUGAUGGUACCACUGCACUCCAGCCUGGGUGACAGAGCGAGACCCUGUCUUAA